rnacentral:lncRNA from 1 species
GCAAAACAAUCCCGUGUAACAGUAGUACGGGAAGGAAUAUGAAAACAAGGUUGUGCCACUUUCAUAAAGUUUCUAAAGCCUUCCUUCUCAACAAAACUGAACGGAAGUUCAUCAACAAUCACCAUAUGACACAAAUCCAUCCUACACUCUUCUUGAUCAAAUUUCCAUGGAAUAAGACCACCUUUAUUACCCCCGGUAAUGUUUGAAAUUGUAAUAGUUUUUGAGCUUUUUCAACUUUAUAAGGAUUCUUUGGACAUUUAUCGAUAUGACCAUUCAUUUGUGUCGUACUUUUGCCUUUUGUCUCAAAAUAUUCUUGUCCACAAAACAAUCACCAUACGACACAAAGCCAUCCUACACUCUUCUUGAUCAAAUUUCCAUGGAAUAAGACCACCUUUAUUACCCCCGGUAAUGUUUGAAAUUGUAAUAGUUUUUGACCUUUUUCAACUUU